GUAUCCUGGCUCAGAUUGAACGCUGGCGGCAGGCUUAACACAUGCAAGUCGAACGGUAACAUGAAGAAGCUUGCUUCUUUGAUGACGAGUGGCGGACGGGUGAGUAAUGCUUGGGAAUCUAGCUUAUGGAGGGGGAUAACUACGGGAAACUGUAGCUAAUACCGCGUAGUAUCGGAAGAUGAAAGUGUGGGACCUUCGGGCCACAUGCCAUAGGAUGAGCCCAAGUGGGAUUAGGUAUUGGUG
rnacentral:rRNA from 1 species